CUAAGAACGGCUGACCUACCCUAUGAAAAAUUGGAUCUCACUUUGAUAUGGUGAAAGAAUAUCACCAACCCAGAUGAUUUUCUUUGUAAAUAUUUCAUGUCUAGCCAUGUGUCUACUACUGCUGCUGUGAUAUCUUACAUUUCAUCUAAGACAAUGUCAGCAAUUUAGCAGCGUGUGUUCCCUUCUGAUAAAGUAGCAUUCUUGUUUCUUAUCUGCUGGAAAAUCAGCUAACAUGUCUGCCAAUCCAAAUCAACUCCACAUGGAACUUCGAGCAAUUCAACACCAUCAACUCCUCGGAUGAGUAGAGUGAGCAGGGAAUAGAUAAACCUGAUGCCGAUUCACCCUUUCCCUUUCAUAAUUCACGUAAUAGCUUUUGGCUACGAGGAACUGCCGUACAUUGGAGGUUUCGAGUUUUUCAAUGUCAAGUCUAAGGUUUUCAGUCGAGGUUCCGAUUUAUAAUUUCGGUGUUUCAGUUCAAAGAUUGUUGCUUUAUUUAGCCCAAUUGAUUUGUAAUUUUCAGUUUUGUUAGUCA
rnacentral:lncRNA from 1 species